CAGUAAAGUCGUUGCUGUUUUUCACAGUGGGUGGAGUGUUAAAAUGGCUUCCUCUUUCAUGAGUUCCUGCGAGGAGCUGACAUCCUUUGCCUGGAGCACCCCAUCCCGUUAGUGUCCAUUGAUCCUUCUGGGAAAUGCAGGAGUGGAACGUGCUGACCUGGUGAGGUUCCCAGGAGGCUUCUGCUGCCCGUCCAACCAACCGGCAAA